rnacentral:rRNA from 1 species
AGAGUUUGAUCCUGGCUCAGAAUAAACGCUGGCGGCGUGCCUAACACAUGCAAGUCGAACGAGAAAGCCUUAAUCUUCGGAUGGGCGAGUAAAGUGGCGCACGGGUGAGUAACGCGUAGGUAACCUACCCCCGGGACCGGGAUAACAGUGCGAAAGUGCUGCUAAUACCGGAUACGAUUGUGGAGCGGGAGCUUUGCGAUGAAAGUCGGCCUCUCGCAGAAGCCGAUGUUCGGGGAUGGGCCUGCGUCCUAUCAGCUGGUUGGUAGGGUAACGGCCUACCAAGGCGACGACGGGUAGCUGGUCUGAGAGGAUGAUCAGCCACACUGGCACUGGAACACGGGCCAGACUCCUACGGGAGGCAGCAGUGAGGAAUUUUGCGCAAUGGCCGCAAGGCUGACGCAGCAACGCCGCGUGGGUGAAGAAGGCCUUCGGGUCGUAAAGCCCUGUCAGGUGGGAAGAACACCAUGGGGACGAAUAAGCUUCAUGGCUGACGGUACCACCAGAGGAAGCACCGGCUAACUCCGUGCCAGCAGCCGCGGUAAUACGGAGGGUGCGAGCGUUAUUCGGAAUUACUGGGCGUAAAGCGCGUGCAGGCGGUUUGGCAAGUCUGAUGUGAAAGCCCCGGGCUUAACCUGGGAAGUGCAUUGGAAACUGCCGGACUUGAGUACUGGAGAGGAAGGGGGAAUUCCCGGUGUAGAGGUGAAAUUCGUAGAGAUCGGGAGGAAUACCAGUGGCGAAGGCGCCCUUCUGGACGGUUACUGACGCUGAGACGCGAAAGCGUGGGGAGCAAACAGGAUUAGAUACCCUGGUAGUCCACGCUGUAAACGAU